rnacentral:rRNA from 1 species
GACGAACGCUGGCGGCGUGCCUAAUACAUGCCAGUUGAGCGCUGAAGGUUGGUACUUGUACCAACUGGAUGAGCAGCGAACGGGUGAGUAACGCGUGGGGAAUCUGCCUUUGAGCGGGGGACAACAUUUGGAAACGAAUGCUAAUACCGCAUAAAAACUUUAAACACAAGUUUUAAGUUUGAAAGAUGCAAUUGCAUCACUCAAAGAUGAUCCCGCGUUGUAUUAGCUAGUUGGUGAGGUAAAGGCUCACCAAGGCGAUGAUACAUAGCCGACCUGAGAGGGUGAUCGGCCACAUUGGGAGUGAGACACGGCCCAAACUCCUACGGGAGGCAGCAGUAGGGAAUCUUCGGCAAUGGACGAAAGUCUGACCGAGCAACGCCGAGUGAGUGAAGAAGGUUUUCGGAUCGUAAAACUCUGUUGGUAGAGAAGAACGUUGGUGAGAGUGGAAAGCUCAUCAAGUGACGGUAACUACCCAGAAAGGGACGGCUAACUACGU